UGGGGAAUAUUGCACAAUGGGGGAAACCCUGAUGCAGCGACGCCGCGUGAGCGAAGAAGGUUUUCGAAUCGUAAAGCUCUGUCCUAUGGGAAGAUAAUGACGGUACCAUAGGAGGAAGCCCCGGCUAACUACGUGCCAGCAGCCGCGGUAAUACGUAGGGGGCAAGCGUUGUCCGGAAUCACUGGGCGUAAAGGGUUCGCAGGCGGAAAUGCAAGUCAGUUGUGAAAGGCAGAGGCUCAACCUCUGUAAGCAAUUGAAACUGUAUUUCUUGAGAUGUGGAGAGGCAAGUGGAAUUCCUAGUGUAGCGGUGAAAUGCGUAGAUAUUAGAAAGAAUACCGGUGGCGAAGGCGACUUGCUGGACACAAACUGACGCUGAGGAACGAAAGCGUGGGUAGCAAACAGG
rnacentral:rRNA from 1 species